AUUGAACGCUGGCGGCAGGCCUAACACAUGCAAGUAGGACGAGUUGCGAACGGGUGAUUAACGCGUGGUAACCUGCCUAUUAAAGUGGGAUAACCAUUGGAAACGAUAGCUAAUACCGCAUACUAGUAGAUAGCCCUUCGUUGUAUUAGCUAGUAGGUAGGGUAAUGGCCUACCUAGGCGACGAUACAUAGCUGGUCUGAGAGGAGGACCAGCCACACUGGAACUGAGACACGGUCCAGACUCCGAAGGGAGGCAGCAGUGGGGAAUAUUGCACAAUGGGCGCAAGCCUGAUGCAGCCAUGCCGCGUGUAUGAAGAAGGCCUUAGGGUUGUAAAGUACUUUCAGCGGGGAGGCGUUACCCGCAGAAGAAGCACCGGCUAACUCCGUGCCAGCCGCCGCGGUAAUUC
rnacentral:rRNA from 1 species